GUGCAUAACUAUUCAGCCCCCUAAAGUCAAUACUUUGUAGAGCUCUAAGUCGCUUUGGAUAAGUCUCUAUGAGCUUGCCACAUCUUACCACUGGGAUUUUUGCCCAUUCCACCUUGCAAAACUGCUCCAGCUCCUUCAAGUUGGAUGGUUUGCGCUUGUGAACAGCAAUCUUUAAAGGAUCACUAUAGUGCCAGGAAAACAUACUUUUUUUCCUGGCACUAUAGUGCCCUGAGGGUGCCCCCACCCUCAGGGUCCCCCUACCACCGGGCUCUAAGGGGUAGAAGUGGUUAAACUUACCCCUUUCUCCAGCACCGGGCGAGGAACUCUCCUCCUCGGCUGAAUGUGCAUGCGCAGCAAGAGCCGCGCGCACAUUCAGCCAGUCUCAUAGGAAAGCAUUCACAAUGCUUUCCUACGGACGCUGGCGUCUUCUCACUGCACGCAAGCGCCUAUAGCGGCUGUCAAUGAGACAGCCACUAGAGGCUGGAUUAACCCAAAAGUAAACAUAGUUUCUCUGAAACUGCUAUGUUUACAGCAGAAAGGGUUAAACCUAGCUGGACCUGGCAC